rnacentral:tRNA from 1 species
AUCUAAAUAGUUUAAAAAAAAUAUUGACUUGUGAUGUCAAAGUUAUUAAUAUAGUUUUGGAUU